GUAUUAUUCCCUCCGUCCCAAAAUUCUUGUCUUACAUUUGUUUAGAUACGGAUGUAUCUAACACUAAAAUGUAACUAGAUACAUCCGUAUUUAGACAAAUUUAAGACAAGAAUUUUGGGACGGAGGGAGUACAGA
rnacentral:pre_miRNA from 1 species